UUAAAUAUCAGCCUGGGAUCUUGUUAAAAUGCAGAUUCUGACUUAAUAGGUCUGGGGUGGGGCCAAGAUUCUGCAUGUCUAACAAGCUCCCAGGUGGUGUGAUG
rnacentral:pre_miRNA from 1 species